rnacentral:lncRNA from 1 species
ACGAUACACUGUUAGUUCUAUAUACGCUGUUAGUUUAAGGGAACUGAAUAGCACGAUGACAUCCUUACCAGUCCCUGCUCUCUUCGCACCCACACUGCCUGCUGAGGGGACAGGGAAGAUGGAAUUGCCUAUGAACAACAGACAAGAAAAAAGCCUGCAAAUGCCUUGGGCGGGAUGUGCGAGUUUCCUCGAUGUCAGGCCCACAGACUGGAAUGAGACGCCACCCUCUGUUGCUGACAUCCCUAAAUACAGCCAAGACGCUGGGAACUGAUUGAAAUGGAAACACAACAGUUCUUUGGAAAAAUCUGUCGGGUGGCGUUUUGCUGGGGCAAACACGUGAAGGAACAUUUCGUUAAAGUGGACACAGGUGUGAAAGGCUCAGGCCGACUCGUGAAGGAACGUUUCCCUGAAGCAGACACAGGAGAGAGGAGAUUCUGCUAAAGCAAGCACGUGAAAGGACACAUGAUGAAGGACUCUUUGCUAACAACACUCAGGUAUUGGUCCACCUUACACUGCAUAGUUGAGCGGAAUUUGUCAGGACUCCAUAGAGAGAAUCGCACCAAAAAACGUCUGGUGAUGUACUGCAGUUUGAUGCUGCUUCUGUGCACUCUGGAUGAUUGGAUGCAUGGAUUGAGGCAAGACCCGUGGAGGACACGUGGUGUUAGGAGAGGGCAAUGCUUGCAGGUCUCUCGUCUUUGCUGAUCUUCGCUUCCCUGAGAGAGGCACAGCCAAGAACUUCUCCUGGUGUUCCUGUCGGUCCCUCCUGCUGACUCGAGCCUAGACUGAGGCCUGGCUAUCUCUGCU